UACGUAGGGGGCAAGCGUUGUCCGGAUUUACUGGGCGUAAAGAGCGUGUAGGCGGCCAAGCAGGUCCGUUGUGAAAACUGGAGGCUUAACCUCCAGACGUCGACGGAAACCGCGCGGCUAGAGUCCGGAAGAGGAGAGUGGAAUUCCUAGUGUAGCGGUGAAAUGCGCAGAUAUCAGGAAGAACACCAAUGGCGAAGGCAGCUCUCUGGGACGGUACUGACGCUGAGACGCGAAAGCGUGGGGAGCGAACAGG
rnacentral:rRNA from 1 species